GUGGGGAAUAUUGCGCAAUGGGCGGAAGCCUGACGCAGCGACGCCGCGUGAGGGAUGAAGGCCUUCGGGUUGUAAACCUCUUUCAGCUCCGAAGAAGCGAGAGUGACGGUAGGAGCAGAAGAAGCACCGGCUAACUACGUGCCAGCAGCCGCGGUAAUACGUAGGGUGCAAGCGUUGUCCGGAAUUAUUGGGCGUAAAGAGCUCGUAGGCGGCUCGUCGCGUCUGCUGUGAAAGCCCGGGGCUUAACCCCGGGUCUGCAGUGGGUACGGGCGGGCUAGAGUGCGGUAGGGGAGACUGGAAUUCCUGGUGUAGCGGUGAAAUGCGCAGAUAUCAGGAGGAACACCGGUGGCGAAGGCGGGUCUCUGGGCCGUAACUGACGCUGAGGAGCGAAAGCAUGGGUAGCGAACAGGAUUAGAUACCCUUGUAGUCC
rnacentral:rRNA from 1 species